AUGAAGAAGUUUAUUAAGGACAUGGUACAAUCUUGUUUAGUCUGUCAGCAAGCUAAACCUGAAAUAGUUAAAUAUCCAGGGUUGCUUUCUCCUUUACCAGUUCCAAGCAAGGCUUGGGAAACUGUGACCAUGGAUUUUAUUAGUGGAUUACCUCACUCCUAUCAGUUUGACUACAUCUUUGUGGUCAUUGACAAGUUUACAGAAUAUGGCCAUUUCAUGGCUCUCAAACACCCCUUUUCUGCACAGAAAGUUGCUGAAGUGUUCUUGGACAAUAUUUACAAAUUGCAUGGAAUGCCAGAAUACAUAGUAUCUUAUAGAGAUCCUGUAUUUAGUAGCAAUUUCUGGCAAGCCCUUGUUCACAGGACUGGGACUCAGCUCAACAUGAGUACUGCAUAUCACCCUGCAACUGUUGGUCAGACUGAGAGAGUCAACCAGCAAAUUGAAUGCUAUCUCAGAAGUUUUAUCAGUUCUCAUCCUUCCAAAUGGAGCAAGUGGCUGUCCCAGUGUGAGUUUUGGUAUAAUACAAACUGGCAUUCAGCUGUUGGCAAGUCUCCUUUUGAGGUCCUGUAUGGAUAUUCCCCUCGAUAUUUUGGGAUUGCUGCCAGUGAUACUGUUGCUCCUAUGGACAUUCUUCAGUGGUUGAAAGACAGGGAGGUGGUGGUGGCUUCUGUAAAACAACAUCUACUCCGAGCUUAG
rnacentral:rRNA from 1 species